rnacentral:misc_RNA from 1 species
AAAAAAUUUGUCAAUAUAUGUUGAGUUAAAUUUCAUCAUAUGAAGAGGGAAGCGACUCAUUUAGCUGACCGUCAGGCUAACUUGGGUGUUAGGCUGCAGUCUUGUAGUCAGUGGAUGGGGGGGCUUNNNNNNNNNNNNUUUGACUCUUUCUCCCACUUAUCAUCUCUCUGCGGGACUUGUUCCCUCUUCAACUCAGCGCUUUAUAUUUAUAGAUAGGCAUUUUUAUUGAGAAUGCUUUAAGGUCCCACCCAC